GGCUUCACUUGGCCAGCCUGUGAGUCUGGGAACGUGCCUGGUUUGAACUCAUGGCCUGGUGCUGGUGAUCCAGAGUGGAUGAGAUACACUCAGGCCUUGCCGUGGGUCACUCUUGUCCCCCUGGCAUCCCUGGGAGGUGAGCAAGGCAUCUGCCCAACCCAGGCACUCCCAGAAACUAUGGUCCCGGUUUGCUGAAGGAAUCCAAUUGGAGGAGGGGCCGCCCUCCCGGGACGAUUUCUCGGAGGUCCUAACCCAGGUUCAUGAGGGCUUCGAGCUGGGCACGCUGGCCGGCCCCGCCUUUGCCUGGCUGCGCGGCUCCCUGGGCCUGGCGGAGGAGGACUAUCAGGCUGCGCUGGGCCCCGGCGGCCCCUACCUGCAGUUCCUCAGCACCUCCAAGAGCAAGGCCAGCUUCUUCCUGUCCCACGACCAGCGCUUCUUCCUGAAGACCCAGGGGCGCCGAGAGGUGCAGGCUCUGCUCGCCCACCUGCCCCGCUACGUGCAGCACCUGCAGCGGCACCCGCACUCGCUGCUGGCGCGGUUGCUGGGAGUGCACAGUCUGCGGGUGGACCGGGGAAAGAAGACGUACUUCAUCGUCAUGCAGAGCGUCUUCUACCCCGCCGGCCGCAUCUCCGAGAGGGCCCCAGCGGAGCUGGUUCCUCCGCCAGAUGGAACUGGAUACCACCUUCCUUCGGGAGCUCAACGUGCUGGAUUACAGCCUCCUGAUAGCCUUCCAACGUCUCCACGAGGAUGAGAGGGGCCCG
rnacentral:sRNA from 1 species